CCAAAAUAUUCCUCCCUCGAGUUCUUCGUCGUUCUGAGAAGACGCUGGAUCCGUUCUGUUUGCCAUGGGAAUGUUCCUCACGGAUUUGGGGUUUGGUUUGGUUAUCGAUCGUCAUUGGAAUGCUCGAAUUAUUUCUCUGAUCCAUCGGUGCUGAAAAACUUAAUAUCAUGAGCCUCAAUGAGUUACAUUGAAGGAAUGAGGAGGUGCGUUCUAUAUAAAGGUAACCUGAUUUUUCCAAGGCAUAGCACGCUCAAGCGCCACAUUUCCAAGGCAUCUACCUCCAUCUUCCCUCUGUUGAAUUCUCAGGCACAGUAAUUCCAGGUUGUCAGAAUGGCUUCUACAGUGCUGCAUAUCUCUGGGCAAGCCCCACAGUCUCCUGCAAUCCUCAGCUUGAAAGAAUUUCAGCUCAAAAAUGGUAUUGGACCAUGGAUGGCACGAGUUCGAAUCGUUCGAAUGUGGCACGAGCUGGACUUCAUGAGAACUAAUGAUGUUACUAGCCUCGAUUUGCUCCUUCUAGAUGACGAUGAUGAUAUGAUACACACAAUUGUUCAGAAAAAAUACAUCUGGAAAUUUGAACCCCUGCUAGAAGAGGGAAUACUACUGGGUCUUCGUAUCUCAGGAUGAUAUCAUACACGCAAUUGUUCAGAAAAAAUACAUCUGGAAAUUUGAACCCCUGCUAGAAGAGGGAAUACUACUGGGUCUUACCAAUUUGGCAUUUGCACCAGAGAAAAAAAUGUUCCGCUCCUGACAGAAUGACUACCGUGCAUACUUUAACUGGAAUACUGAUGUUACUCCUCUUGAGUCCACCACCGCACCCAUUCCUGGCCACAAGUUCUUUUUCACAGAAUUUGAAGCACUUGCAGUUGCUGCCACCAAUACCUACCUUAUUGGUGACUACAGCGAAAAUUAAAGUUAUAGUUUCCCACCCACGUAAAUUGCUAAACUAAUAUUCCCUCGCUGUUGUGUGUGCAGAUG